rnacentral:rRNA from 1 species
CUAUACAUGCAAGUCGAGCGAACAGAGAAGGAGCUUGCUCCUUUGACGUUWRCGGCGGACGGGUGAGUWACACGUGGGCAACCUACCCUAUAGUUUGGGAUAACUCCGGGAAACCGGGGCUAAUACCGAAUAAUCUAUUGUCCCUCAUGGGRCAAUACUGAAAGACGGUUUCGGCUGUCACUAUAGGAUGGGCCCGCGGCGCAUUAGCUAGUUGGUGAGGUAACGGCUCACCAAGGCRACGAUGCGUAGCCGACCUGAGAGGGUGAUCGGCCACACUGGGACUGAGACACGGCCCAGACUCCUACGGGAGGCAGCAGUAGGGAAUCUUCCACAAUGGGCGAAAGCCUGAUGGAGCAACGCCGCGUGAGUGAAGAAGGAUUUCGGUUCGUAAAACUCUGUUGUAAGGGAAGAACAAGUACAGUAGUAACUGGCUGUACCUUGACGGUACCUUAUUAGAAAGCCACGGCUAACUACGUGCCAGCAGCCGCGGUAAUACGUAGGUGGCAAGCGUUGUCCGGAAUUAUUGGGCGUAAAGCGCGCGCAGGUGGUUUCUUAAGUCUGAUGU